GACAGAGGGUGCGAACGUUGUUCGGAAUUACUGGGCGUAAAGCGCGUGUAGGCGGCAACGCAAGUCGGGCGUGAAAUCCCACGGCUCAACCGUGGAAGUGCACUCGAAACUGCGUAGCUAGAGUCCUGGAGAGGAAGGUGGAAUGCUUGGUGUAGAGGUGAAAUUCGUAGAUAUCAAGCGGAACACCGGUGGCGAAGGCGGCCUUCUGGACAGUGACUGACGCUGAGACGCGAAAGCGUGGGUAGCAAACAGG
rnacentral:rRNA from 1 species